rnacentral:tRNA from 1 species
GGUCCAGUAGCUCAGCUGGAUAGAGCAAUCGCCUUCUAAGCGAUCGGUCGAGAGUUCGAAUCUCCCCUGGAUCA